rnacentral:rRNA from 1 species
ACGAACGCUGGCGGCAUGCCUAAUACAUGCAAGUCGAGCGAACAGACGAGGAGCUUGCUCCUCUGACGUUAGCGGCGAAUGGGUGAGUACACGUGGGCAACCUGCCCUGUAGUUGGGGAUAACUCCGGGAAACCGGGGCUAAUACCGAAUGAUUAACUUCUUCUCAUGAAGGAGUUCUGAAAGACGGCUUCGGCUGUCGCUAUAGGAUGGGCCCGCGGCGCAUUAGCUAGUUGGUAAGGUAAUGGCUUACCAAGGCGACGAUGCGUAGCCGACCUGAGAGGGUGAUCGGCCACACUGGGACUGAGACACGGCCCAGACUCCUACGGGAGGCAGCAGUAGGGAAUCAUCCACAAUGGACGAAAGUCUGAUGGUGCAAUGCCGCGUGAGCGAAGAAGGUUUUCGGAUCGUAAAGCUCUGUUAUGAGGGAGGAACAAGUACAAGAGUAACUGCUUGUACCUUGACGGUACCUCAUUAGAAAGCCACGGCUAACUACGUG